AAGAAAAACAGACAAGAUUUCUCAAGAAGACAGAAAAGGCCAAUAAAGGGUUUUUAAAAAGUCAAUUUUAGAAAUACUCAAGCAGAAAGAAGAAAUUGCCCUGUUAAGGAGCUGGACAUAAUGAUCUUUCCCACGCCACCUCUGGUCCACCCCCCUUGUGGCUCUGUAAAUUUGCUUCAUAAUUAAGCCACCAGCUGGUGGUGGCUCUGUCUGGUCCCAGCACUAUACCCUCAUCCCUGGCCAAUUUUGAUUUGGAUGAUUCAGACAGAGAGAGUGGCAUCUGACCUCGAGUAGGAGCAGCGAGGGGUUACCAGAAAUGACCUUGAUCUCUUAAUUUUACACUUCUGCCAAUACUGUGGGGAGCCUGGAGAAAGUAACCGAGACAGAGUCUCGCUAUGUUGCCCAGGCUGGAGUGCAAUGGUGUCAUCUCAGCUCACUACAACCUCUGCCUCUCGGGUUCAAGCAAUUCUCAUGCCUCAGCCUCCUGAGUAGCUGGGAUUACAGGCACAUACCACCACGCCCAGAACUUGUCAGAUAUGCUCUCCCAGCCCUUCAUACUAAGGACAAUGGGUACUUGCCCAAGCCCAUCCACCAUUCUGUCAGUCGCAUCCUGAGAAGAGAUCAGAGAAGAUUCCCUCCUAGACCACGCAAAAUAGACCGAUC